rnacentral:rRNA from 1 species
UACGUAGGGUCCAAGCGUUAAUCGGAAUUACUGGGCGUAAAGCGUGCGCAGGCGGUUCGUUAAGUCAGCUGUGAAAGCCCCGGGCUUAACCUGGGAAUGGCGGUUGAAACUACAGGACUAGAAUCUGGCAGAGGGGGGUGGAAUUCCACGUGUAGCAGUGAAAUGCGUAGAGAUGUGGAGGAACACCGAUGGCGAAGGCAGCCCCCUGGGCUGAGAUUGACGCUCAGGCACGAAAGCGUGGGGAGCAAACAGG